CAACCCUCAGGCCCCCGGGCCUGGCGUUGGGGAUCGGCAGAAGCCCCCUGUGGGCACACGCCGUCCCUCAAAUACAGUGGCGGUCCCGCCGCAGCUUCCAUUGCGUAGUAGCUAACACCUCGCAACUGGAGAGCGGCGCGGCCAUGCCGUAAAACACCCAACUUCUGAA
rnacentral:misc_RNA from 3 species